rnacentral:rRNA from 1 species
AACGAACGCUGGCGGCAUGCCUAACACAUGCAAGUCGAACGAGACCUUCGGGUCUAGUGGCGCACGGGUGCGUGACGCGUGGGAACCUGCCCUUAGGUUCGGAAUAACUCCCCGAAAGGGGUGCUAAUACCGGAUAAUGUCUUCGGACCAAAGAUUUAUCGCCUUUGGAUGGGCCCGCGUUGGAUUAGCUAGUUGGUAGGGUAAAAGCCUACCAAGGCGACGAUCCAUAGCUGGUCUGAGAGGAUGAUCAGCCACACUGGGACUGAGACACGGCCCAGACUCCGACGGGAGGCAGCAGUGGGGAAUAUUGGACAAGGGGCGAAAGUCUGAUCCAGCAAUGCCGCGUGAGUGAGGAAGGCCUUAGGGUUGUAAAGCUCUUUUACCCGGGAUGAUAAUGACAGUACCGGGAGAAUAAGCUCCGGCUAACUCCGUG